rnacentral:SRP_RNA from 1 species
GCCGGGCGUGGUGGCUCACGCUUGUAAUCCUAGCACUUUGGGAGGCUGAGGUGGGUGGAUCACCUGAGGUCAGGAGUUCAAGACCAGCCUGGCCAACAUGGUGAAACCCCAUCUCUA